GGCUCAUUGGUCUAGGGGUAUGAUGCUCACUUAGGGUGUGAGAGGUCCCAGGUUCAAAUCCUGGCUGAGCCC
rnacentral:tRNA from 1 species